GAUGAACGCUAGCGGCAGGCCUAAUACAUGCAAGUCGAACGGGAUCUGAGGGUAGCUUGCUACCCGAUUUGAGAGUGGCGCACGGGUUCGUAACGAGUGAGCAACCUACCCAUAUCAGGGGGAUAGCCAGAAGAAAUUCGGAUUAAAACCGCAUAAUAAUACGCUAACACAAGUUAAUGUAUUUAAAUAUUUAGAGGAUAUGGAUGGGCUCGCGUUACAUUAGCUAGUUGGUAAGGUAACGGCUUACCAAGGCGACGAUGUCUAGGGGCUCUGAGAGGAGAAUCCCCCACACUGGUACUGAGAUACGGACCAGACUCCUACGGGAGGCAGCAGUAAUGAAUAUUGGUCAAUGGGCGCGAGCCUGAACCAGCCAUGCCGCGUGCAGGAUGACUGCCCUAUGGGUUGUAAACUGCUUUUGUUAGGGAAUAAACCUACUUAUGUAUAAGUAGCUUAAUGUACCUAAAGAAUAAGGAUCGGCUAACUCCGUGCCAGCAGCCGCAGUAA
rnacentral:rRNA from 1 species